rnacentral:rRNA from 1 species
UACGUAGGGGGCAAGCGUUGUCCGGAAUCAUUGGGCGUAAAGCGCGUGUAGGCGGUUCAGUAAGUCUGCUGUGAAAGUCCAGGGCUCAACCCUGGGAUGCCGGUGGAUACUGCUGGGCUAGAGUACGGAAGAGGCGAGUGGAAUUCUCGGUGUAGCGGUGAAAUGCGUAGAUAUCGAGAGGAACACCUGCGGCGAAGGCGGGUAGCUGGGCCGACACUGACGCUGAUGCGCGAAAGCGUGGGGGAGCAAACAGGG